rnacentral:tRNA from 1 species
GGCCGCGUGGCCUAAUGGCUAAGGCGCUAGAUUUCGGUAGAAAUCAUCUGUUUCUCUAGAGAUUCCAGGUUCGACUCCUGGCGUGGUCG